rnacentral:rRNA from 1 species
AUGAACGCUGGCGGCGUGCUUAACACAUGCCAGUCGAACGAUGAAGCCCAGCUUGCUGGGUGGAUUAGUGGCGAACGGGUGAGUAACACGUGAGUAACCUGCCCUUAACUCUGGGAUAAGCCUGGGAAACUGGGUCUAAUACCGGAUAGGAGCGUCCACCGCAUGGUGGGUGUUGGAAAGAUUUAUCGGUUUUGGAUGGACUCGCGGCCUAUCAGCUUGUUGGUGAGGUAAUGGCUCACCAAGGCGACGACGGGUAGCCGGCCUGAGAGGGUGACCGGCCACACUGGGACUGAGACACGGCCCAGACUCCUACGGGAGGCAGCAGUGGGGAAUAUUGCACAAUGGGCGAAAGCCUGAUGCAGCGACGCCGCGUGAGGGAUGACGGCCUUCGGGUUGUAAACCUCUUUCAGUAGGGAAGAAGCGAAAGUGACGGUACCUGCAGAAGAAGCACCGGCUAACUACGUG